GUAGGUUAGUCAGGGGGUGGUUAACCUGGUCACCGCCUCUGGGCCACUGAAAGGCAGUCGGGUACCCACCAGUCAGAGAGUGCCCGUGUCUGUGGGAGGAGUGGGAUUCCAGGCCUUAAUUGGUCCUUAGAAGUCUUACAGGGGAUGUUAACUGGCUACUUCUCUGCUUCUCUUGCCCAAAUCCAUUAGGGUCUCGUCCUCACUAAAGAUUUUCCGGAUGGGCUUGAGAGUUAAUCUAGAUUCCAGGAUGUAAGACGGAAAGGGCCACAGGGCUCCUCUCUGAAAUGUGACUGGGAAAAUAGAGCUGCUGUCUCCUUGUCUCUGGGGGGUAGUGGAGGCCUAAUUUGGGGACCUCUUGGAGGUACAGCCCAACUCCAGACAUGAGUGAGGCCAUCUGAGACAGCCCAGUCCAGUCCCAACGCCGUAGGACCGCACGUGAUCUCCUCUGGGAGAGCCAGCCCAAACUACUGGGCCACAGAAUGAGUAGCACCUAAAAUCUGUGUUGGUUUAAGCCACUUCUGGUUGGAGUGGUUGGUUACGCACUAAUGGAUGUGGAUAUCCUUCCAUUGAGUCAUGGUUAUGGUGCCUGGACGGAAGUAAUUUGACUCAGCUUGCCGAACUGCCAGCAAAUCGAGUAUCGUCCCUCAGCUCCAGACAAUUCUUCAAAGCCCACCUUGUGAGGCCAAGGUUGAGAGUCUGCAAAGCGUGUUCCUCCUUUGCCUGCCACGUCCCUUGGGUUCUGCAGACAGGAGCCACAGAAGACGGGAAGGAAGAGGAGGAGAGGGAUCCAUGGAUAGAGCUGACUGGAAGGCAGAUGAUGAGAAAAGCUAAUGGAUUGUAUGAGCAUCGGGGGAGAAGGCCAGGAAGCAUCAAAACCCAACUGAAGGGAGAAGCAUCCAGGUGGUGGUUAUAGCGUCAUGAAAUGGCUGUCCCAGCUCACAGAAGGAAGAGGGAUUGCAGGCCAGAGCAAUUUUGCAGUGUCUGCUGACCUCAGAUCUAGGACCUUUCUGCUUAUGUGUCUCCCUUUUCAAGACUUGCUCAGACUCUCCAUCCUUUCCUGCCUGAAUCUCAUUUGAACUUGUUUGGAGGAGAGGAUCAUGAGCGGGGAGGGUGCUGCUGACGUGAAGGGCAUAUGCUGCCAAAGGGGCAUAUUUAACUGCCAGGAAAGUUCUGGAGAUCAUGAAGCUCAGGCUCCCAACUGCAAGAUAUGUUUCGUUUGGACGAAUUUGGAAGCAUCCUCCUACCAGAGACAAG
rnacentral:lncRNA from 1 species